AACAACUUCCUGCACCACAUGACCAUGUGUCCUUCAGCUGUGUGAUUGUGUGCUAUUCAUACCCCCGAAAUGCUGCACGGUAACGUAAAUGGAGGAAGCGCAUCAUUAAAAGGAAGCGCUCUGUAAUGAGGCCUCACAUUUGAUGGGACACCUCACAAAACCAGAACACAUUCUCACGGACAAAGUGCGAAGUGAAACAACAAUGUCUCCCUUCCCUUUUUUUCAGGAGUGAUUACAACCGGAUCGAGCGAGAACCACUUCAAAUCCUACUCGCUGCUCUUUAGCAGAGACAGGAAGAACUGGAAAGUUUACAAAGACGCUGUCAGCAAACAAGAAAAGGUGUUUGAGGCCUUUGCCGACGGUCACCCGAGGGUGCUCAACAGCCUGUUUCCUCCGGCCGUGGCUCGCUUCGUCCGUGUGCGGCCUCAGCGCCGCCAUGGCCGAGGUUCGGUUCAACUCCAAAUCCUGGGCUGCCCUGUCAAGGUCACGCCAAGAUCUCGUUCAACUGACGAAUCUCCGUCCGGCAAAGCUAACGCGGCGACUCCAAAAACAUCUCUCACGACCACAGAACGUCCCGUUUUGGUGGAAUCCAAGCAGAGAUCCAGUCAACCAGUCAUCGUCGCAGUGGGAGUGGUCCUGGGACUAAUCAUGUGCUUCUGUUGUUUGUUGGCUGGAGUCUGGUGGAAGGGAAGG